rnacentral:rRNA from 1 species
ACCCCUACGGGACGCAGCAGUGGGGAAUAUUGCACAAUGGGGGAAACCCUGAUGCAGCGACGCCGCGUGAGUGAAGAAGUAUUUCGGUAUGUAAAGCUCUAUCAGCAGGGAAGAAAAUGACGGUACCUGACUAAGAAGCCCCGGCUAACUACGUGCCAGCAGCCGCGGUAAUACGUAGGGGGCGAGCGUUAUCCGGAUUCACUGGGUGUAAAGGGAGCGUAGACGGCCAAGCAAGCCAGGGGUG